rnacentral:rRNA from 1 species
GCCCAGACAGCCAGGAUGUUGGCUUAGAAGCAGCCAUCAUUUAAAGAAAGCGUAAUAGCUCACUGGUCGAGUCGGCCUGCGCGGAAGAUGUAACGGGGCUAAACCAUGCACCGAAGCUGCGGCAGCGACACUGUGUGUUGUUGGGUAGGGGAGCGUUCUGUAAGCCUGUGAAGGUGGCCUGUGAGGGUUGCUGGAGGUAUCAGAAGUGCGAAUGCUGACAUAAGUAACGAUAAAGCGGGUGAAAAGCCCGCUCGCCGGAAGACCAAGGGUUCCUGUCCAACGUUAAUCGGGGCAGGGUGAGUCGACCCCUAAGGCGAGGCCGAAAGGCGUAGUCGAUGGGAAACGGGUUAAUAUUCCCGUACUUGGUGUUACUGCGAAGGGGGGACGGAGAAGGCUAUGUUGGCCGGGCGACGGUUGUCCCGGUUUAAGCGUGUAGGUGUGUGUUCCAGGUAAAUCCGGUUCACUUUAACACUGAGGCGUGACGACGAGGCACUACGGUGCUGAAGCAACAAAUGCCCUGCUUCCAGGAAAAGCCUCUAAGCAUCAGGUAACAUCAAAUCGUACCCCAAACCGACACAGGUGGUCAGGUAGAGAAUACCAAGGCGCUUGAGAGAACUCGGGUGAAGGAACUAGGCAAAAUGGUGCCGUAACUUCGGGAGAAGGCACGCUGACACGUAGGUGAAGUGAUUUACUCACGGAGCUGAAGUCAGUCGAAGAUACCAGCUGGCUGCAACUGUUUAUUAAAAACACAGCACUGUGCAAACACGAAAGUGGACGUAUACGGUGUGACGCCUGCCCGGUGCCGGAAGGUUAAUUGAUGGGGUCAGCGCAAGCGAAGCUCCUGAUCGAAGCCCCGGUAAACGGCGGCCGUAACUAUAACGGUCCUAAGGUAGCGAAAUUCCUUGUCGGGUAAGUUCCGACCUGCACGAAUGGCGUAAUGAUGGCCAGGCUGUCUCCACCCGAGACUCAGUGAAAUUGAACUCGCUGUGAAGAUGCAGUGUACCCGCGGCAAGACGGAAAGACCCCGUGAACCUUUACUAUAGCUUGACACUGAACAUUGAGCCUUGAUGUGUAG